GGCGAUUAAACAGAAGGAGGGGGAAAAAAAGGAAUCCUCACCUUCUCUGAAGCACUGGCCAGUUUGGUACCAGAGGCAUUGAAGGUGAGGGCUGCCAAGGGACUGUCAUGGGCUUGGAUCAGCGUCAGAGUGCUCUAAGGAGAUCGACUCCUCCAGGCACACCACCAGCCGCUGAGGUAACCAUGACAGACAGAGAGAUCAACAAGAUAGCACAAACCAGAAGCAACGACUUUGAGGAUUACAGUGGUAGACGUUCAUUCGCCGUGGCAUGGACAGACUGACCACCACUACCAAGCUACUGGAGAACAGUCGCUCCACUAUAUACACAUCUGGACACUCUACUGGGAGAGGGACAAGAGAAAGACCUGAGAUUGUAUACUUUGACUCAGAAAAGCCCACCUAAUAAAAAUAAACCAAAAUCACUAAGUGUUCGCUAUAUUUAAAAUAUUUUCACCGCUUUACCUUGCCAACAGAAAGCCCCUUCGAUGGGGAACUGAAACUGUUAUGCUGUCUUUAAAGCCACCAGACUCCUUUGACAAAAUUUUUUUUUUUUACCUCAGAACAGAUCA